GUUGUGACUGAAACCCGUCAAUAUGGCGGCGAUCGGCCGCGGCCGCUCUCUGAAGAACCUCCGAGUACGAGGGCGGAAUGACAGCGGCGAGGAGAACGUCCCGCUGGAUCUGACCCGAGAACCUUCUGAUAACUUAAGAGAGAUUCUCCAAAAUGUGGCCAGAUUGCAAGGAGUAUCAAAUAUGAGAAAGCUAGGCCAUCUGAAUAACUUUACUAAGCUUCUUUGUGAUAUUGGCCACAGUGAAGAAAAACUGGGCUUUAACUAUGAGGAUAUCAUAAUUUGUUUGCGGUUAGCUUUAUUAAAUGAAGCAAAAGAAGUGCGAGCAGCAGGGCUACGAGCGCUUCGAUAUCUCAUCCAAGACUCCAGUAUUCUCCAGAAGGUGCUAAAAUUGAAAGUGGACUAUUUAAUAGCUAGGUGCAUUGACAUACAACAGAGCAACGAGGUAGAGAGGACACAAGCACUUCGAUUAGUCAGAAAGAUGAUUACUGUGAAUGCUUCCUUGUUUCCUAGUUCUGUGACCAACUCAUUAAUUGCAGUUGGAAAUGAUGGACUUCAAGAAAGAGACAGAAUGGUCCGAGCAUGCAUUGCCAUUAUCUGUGAACUAGCACUUCAGAAUCCAGAGGUGGUGGCCCUUCGAGGUGGACUAAACACCAUCUUGAAAAAUGUGAUCGAUUGCCAAUUAAGUCGAAUAAAUGAGGCCCUAAUUACUACAAUUUUGCACCUUCUUAAUCAUCCAAAGACUCGACAGUAUGUGCGAGCUGAUGUAGAAUUAGAGGUAGGAACUUUAAUAUUCUUUUCUAGUUUUAAAAUAUUAUUAUAAAUGUAUACUUUUACUUUGAAAUACUAAAUUCUAUAGAUGCAGCACCACAUUAAUUAUCAAGCCUAAAUUAGCCGACACUGAUUUAUUCCCAGCUCUGUUUUACAGAUCAUUCAGUUUGGACUGAAUUGAAAACAUUACUCUUAAGAAUAUUUCAUCAAUGUGUAAAUUUUAUUUUUGUAUUAUCUAUGAAAAGUUUAUGAACCAAAUUAGAGUACAAAUAAAGUUACGUAACAAAUUUACCUAUUUAAGAUUACCAUUUGUUUUUAAGGCCUUUAGUACAUUGUGUGUGAAUAGCUCCUGCUAAUUAUACAAUAUUUAUGAAACCUAAAAUUAUCUGAAGUUGGAAGCACUUUGUUAGCAACUAAUUAUAUCUACUUGAAAGAAAGCAUGUAUGUAUAUUUUGUAAAUACCUCUUAAAUUUUUUACUGAUUCAAGUAAGGUUUAUUACAGUUAGUCAAAAGUAAUAGGGCUACUGUAUACCUUAUAAGAAAGUAUGUCGUGGAGGUUGGAACAGAAUUAUGCACUGUAUUAUAGUUUCUUCCUGUGCAUGUAUUGCAUUGUUGUCCUUUGAAUAUAGUAUUUGGAGUCAGUUUAAAUCAAGGAUUUGUUUGUAUUUAGGUAUGAAAUCAUGUGUGAUAUAAAAGAUUGAUUGUCCCCUAAUUUGUUUUUCCAAAUCAUUUUUUGAAACUUAAGUGUUCUGUUUUUAUCAGGACUUUUUAAAAAAAUGCUUCACAUUAUAAAAUUGACAUUAGCCUAUAUUAUUAACUAACAAUGUUAGUAUAAUAGUCCUAAUAAGUGAUUUCAAGUAUAUUAUUUAUUGGAAUCCUGUGGGAAUAAACUGGCACUGUUGAUAUUUUAUAAUAUGUUUAGCUUUAAUUUUUUUUCUUAUCAAGUAAGAAAACUGUAAUUUUAAAAUUGGAGAGAUGAAUAAAAGAUAAUAUG
rnacentral:sRNA from 1 species